AUACGUAGGGGGCGAGCGUUGUCCGGAAUGAUUGGGCGUAAAGGGCGCGUAGGCGGCGCGGUAAGUCUGGAGUGAAAGUCCUGCUUUCAAGGUGGGAAUUGCUUUGGAUACUGCCGCGCUUGAGUGCAGGAGAGGUUAUCGGAAUUCCCGGUGUAGCGGUGAAAUGCGUAGAGAUCGGGAGGAACACCAGUGGCGAAGGCGGGUAACUGGACUGCAACUGACGCUGAGGCGCGAAAGUGUGGGGAGCAAACAGGAUUAGAUACCCUGGUAGUCCACACUGUAAACGAUGAAUGCUAGGUGUAAGAGGUAUUGACCCCUUUUGUGCCGGAGUCAACACAAUAAGCAUUCCGCCUGGGGAGUACGGCCGCAAGGUUGAAACUCAAAUGAAUUGACGGGG
rnacentral:rRNA from 1 species